GAUGAACGCUGGCGGCGUGCCUAAUACAUGCAAGCCGAGCGAACGGACGAGAAGCUUGCUUCUCUGAUGUUAGCGGCGGACGGGUGAGUAACACGUGGAUACCUACCUAUAAGACUGGGAUAACUUCGGGAAACCGUAGCUAAUACCGGAUAAUAUUUUUAACCGCUUGGUUCAAAAGUGAAAGACGGUCUUUUUGUUCUUUAUUAUUGGCUCCGCGUUGUAUUGGUUAGUUGGUAGGGUAACGGCUUUCCAAGGCAACGAUGCGUAGCCGACCUGAGAGGGGGAUCGGCCGCACUGGAGCUGAGACAGGGUCCAGACGCCUACGGGAGGCAGCAGUAGGGAAUGUUCCGCAAUGGGCGAGAGCCUGACGGAGCGACGGCGCGUGAGUGAUGAAGGUCUUCGGAUCGUAAAACUCUGUUAUUAGGGAAGAACAUAUGUGUAAGUAACUGUGCACAUCUUGACGGUACCUAAUCAGAAAGCCACGGCUAACUACGUG
rnacentral:rRNA from 1 species